UGACCGGCAAAAUCCGGUCACGGGAUUGGCGUCCUGAUUACAUAGGCGAUAAAUGAGAUGCACCGGUCAUCUUUAUC
rnacentral:sRNA from 1 species